AUUGCUAAAAAUUAUUGCACCAUCAAUGACAACAAUGACAAUAUCAUCACUAAGAAAUAGAAAUGAGUGAACAGAGAAACAAAAACUAUCAACGUAAUCAAAAUUCUCCGAUCAAUGUAAUGGUGGCAAUGUUGCCGGAUAAAUAGAUAUGCCGGCGAUAGAUGAGCAUUCCAAUGCAAACAACUAGAACAAGACCCUAUGAUUAGAUGAGGUUUUAACGUAGGGUGGAAGCGAUACUAAAUUUCGUUCUAGUAUAUGUCUUGAAAACUCAAGAAAGAGACUCUCACCAAAGAGAAGAUAUUUCAAUUGAGAAAAAGUUGAAUAUUAUUAAUGAGAAGCUUGUGUCUGUUAUCAUAAAUUAAGAAUAACAAGCCUAUAUAUCUAAUAGUAGCUAACUUAAUCCUUAUCUUUCUCAAAUAAGAGAAAUAACCUAAAAUCCUAAUUAAAUUAGAAUUACAAAUAUGACUCAAGUAAACUUAAUAAAAUAAGAUAAAUUCUAAUAAAAUAUUAAAUUCUAAAUUGACCCAAAUAUUAUAAUUCCUAGUAAAUUCUAAUUUAUUUAUUUUAUUUAUAAGUUUGUUUGGUUUUUGGGUUUUUUUUAAAGAACAGAAAAUUAUAGGUAAUAGUAUAAGUAUAGAAAAGUAAAGGGGCAAAAUUAAAUAUAGGCAAAAGUUGGUGUUGCCGUCGACGGUGGUCGAAAAAUUGGCCUAGGAUAGGUGGAUCUAGAAGAUUUGAUGGUGUUGAGUGUGAUGUUGGUGGUGGUUUGUCUCAAAUAGUUGUGAGUUGACCGAAAAGUUGAGCUAAAGUAGCGGGUGGAGGUUGGUUUCGGUUUCCGGCGAUCCGGCCAGGGGUUGGUAGCGUGAGUGGGUUGAAAUGAAAGAGCUGAUGAUGGUGGACGAAUGAGUGGUGGUGGAGGUUGUGAAUCGCGGCUGAUUGCAGCGAAUGGAGAGGCGGAUUUUCGUGGUGGUUCAACGGCUGUUUUGGCUAGUUUCCCGUGGCUACGGUGACGGGAUGGUGGUGUUAUGGGUUGGGUUAUGAUUGGCGGCGUGUAGGCUUUCAGAUGGGAGAGAGGAUUGACCGAAAAGAAGAGAAACUGGUGGUGGCGGUAGCCGUGUAUGGCAGAUGUGAUGGCGGCUUCGGGUUUUGCUAGGUUUUUUUUUUUAACUUUUUUAACUUGAUGGAACUAAUGUACGGAGUUGGUGGUCAGGAAUGCUCUGCCUGCUACCAAAAAAAGCUCUAAUAUCAUUUGUCUUG
rnacentral:lncRNA from 1 species